UGCAGCCGAGCGGUAGAGUUUCUUCCGGAACUUGAGAGCGGCGUACGGGUGCGGAACACGUGUGCAACCUGCCUUUAUCAGGGGGAUAGCCUUUCGAAAGGAAGAUUAAUACCCCAUAAUAUUUAGAAUGGCAUCAUUUUAAAUUGAAAACUCCGGUGGAUAGAGAUGGGCACGCGCAAGAUUAGAUAGUUGGUGAGGUAACGGCUCACCAAGUCUACGAUCUUUAGGGGGCCUGAGAGGGUGAUCCCCCACACUGGUACUGAGACACGGACCAGACUCCUACGGGAGGCAGCAGUGAGGAAUAUUGGACAAUGGGUGAGAGCCUGAUCCAGCCAUCCCGCGUGAAGGAUGACGGCCCUAUGGGUUGUAAACUUCUUUUGUAUAGGGAUAAACCUACUCUCGUGAGAGUAGCUGAAGGUACUAUACGAAUAAGCACCGGCUAACUCCGUGCCAGCAGCCGCGGUAAUACGGAGGGUGCAAGCGUUAUCCGGAUUUAUUGGGUUUAAAGGGUCCGUAGGCUGAUCUGUAAGUCAGUGGUGAAAUCUCACAGCUUAACUGUGAAACUGCCAUUGAUACUGCAGGUCUUGAGUGUUAUUGAAGUAGCUGGAAUAAAGUAGUGUAGCGGGGAAAUGCAUAAUAUAUUACUUAGAACACCAAUUGCGAAGCAGGUUAAUUAACCAACACUGACGCUGAUGGACGAA
rnacentral:rRNA from 1 species